GACGAACGCUGGCGGCGUGCCUAAUACAUGCAAGUAGGACGCAGUUGCGCACGGGUGAGUAACGCGUAGGUGACUGCCUAUUAGAGGGGGAUAUCUAUUGGAAACGAUAGCGCUUACCGCAUAAUAGUUGAUGGACCUGCGUUGUAUUAUCUAGUAGGUAGGGUAAUGGCCUACCUAGGCGGCGAUACAUAGACGACCGGAGAGGUGGAUCGGCCACACUGGGACUGAGACACGGCCCAGACUCCUACGGUAGCCAGCAGGUGGGAAUCUUUGGCAAUAGGGGGAACCCUUACCGGGCAACGACGGGUGAGUGAAGAAGGUUUUGUGGUCGUAAAGCUCUGUUGUUAAGGAAGCGGUACUUAACCAGAAAGGGACGGCUAACUACGUGCCAGCAGCCGCGGUAAUUC
rnacentral:rRNA from 1 species